rnacentral:rRNA from 1 species
UGGGGGAUAUUGCACAAUGGGCGAAAGCCUGAUGCAGCGACGCCGCGUGGGGGAUGAAGGCCUUCGGGUUGUAAACUUCUUUUGCUCUGAACAAGGCAUGCUAAUGGGUGUGUUGAGUGUAGGGGUUGAUUAGCGCCGGCUAACUACGUGCCAGCAGCCGCGGUAAUACGUAGGGCGCGAGCGUUGUCCGGAAUUAUUGGGCGUAAAGGGCUUGUAGGUGGCUGGUUGCGUCUGUCGUGAAAGCUCAUGGCUUAACUGUGGGUUUGCGGUGGGUACGGGCAGGCUUGAGUGCAGUAGGGGAGGCUGGAAUUCCUGGUGUAGCGGUGGAAUGCGCAGAUAUCAGGAGGAAUACCGGUGGCGAAGGCGGGUCUCUGGGCUGUUACUGACACUGAGGAGCGAAAGCAUGGGGAGCGAACAGG